rnacentral:rRNA from 2 species
CAGUAGGGAUCUUCCGCAAUGGACGAAAGUCUGACGGAGCAACGCCGCGUGAGUGAUGAAGGCUUUCGGGUCGUAAAACUCUGUUGUUAGGGAAGAACAAGUGCUAGUUGAAUAAGCUGGCACCUUGACGGUACCUAACCAGAAAGCCACGGCUAACUACGUGCCAGCAGCCGCGGUAAUACGUAGGUGGCAAGCGUUAUCCGGAAUUAUUGGGCGUAAAGCGCGCGCAGGUGGUUUCUUAAGUCUGAUGUGAAAGCCCACGGCUCAACCGUGGAGGGUCAUUGGAAACUGGGAGACUUGAGUGCAGAAGAGGAAAGUGGAAUUCCAUGUGUAGCGGUGAAAUGCGUAGAGAUAUGGAGGAACACCAGUGGCGAAGGCGACUUUCUGGUCUGUAACUGACACUGAGGCGCGAAAGCGUGGGGAGCAAACAGGAUUAGAUACCCUGGUAGUCCACGCCGUAAACGAUGAGUGCUAAGUGUUAGAGGGUUUCCGCCCUUUAGUGCUGAAGUUAACGCAUUAAGCACUCCGCCUGGGGAGUACGGCCGCAAGGCUGAAACUCAAAGGAAUUGACGGGGCAG